rnacentral:tRNA from 5 species
GGAGAGGUGGAUGAGCGGUUUAAGUCGCACGCCUGGAAAGCGUGUUUAGGAUAAUAUCUUAACGCGGGUUCGAAUCCCGCCCUCUCCGCCA